rnacentral:rRNA from 1 species
AUUGAACGCUGGCGGCAGGCCUAACACAUGCAAGUCGAGCGGAUGAGAGGAGCUUGCUCCUCGAUUCAGCGGCGGACGGGUGAGUAAUGCCUAGGAAUCUGCCCAGUAGUGGGGGACAACGUUUCGAAAGGAACGCUAAUACCGCAUACGUCCUACGGGAGAAAGUGGGGGAUCUUCGGACCUUACGCUAUUGGAUGAGCCUAGGUCGGAUUAGCUAGUUGGUAGGGUAAAGGCCUACCAAGGCGACGAUCCGUAACUGGUCUGAGAGGAUGAUCAGUAACACUGGAACUGAGACACGGUCCAGACUCCUACGGGAGGCAGCAGUGGGGAAUAUUGGACAAUGGGCGCAAGCCUGAUCCAGCCAUGCCGCGUGUGUGAAGAAGGCCCUCGGGUCGUAAAGCACUUUAAGUUGGGAGGAAGGGCUUACAGCGAAUACCUGUGAGUUUUGACGUUACCGACAGAAUAAGCACCGGCUAACUUCGUGCCAGCAGCCGCCGUAA